ACCUGACUAGCUCAGUGGGUAGAGCAUGUGACUCUUAAUCUCAGGGCUGUGGGUUUGAGCCCCACGUUGGGUG